GUCAAGUUACGAAGGGCUCACGGUGGAUACCUAG
rnacentral:rRNA from 1 species